rnacentral:snRNA from 1 species
AUCGCUUCUCGGCCUUUUGGCUAAGAUCAAGUGUAGUAUCUGUUCUUAUCAGUUUAAUAUCUGAUACGUCCUCUAUCCGAGGACAAUAUAUUAAGUGGAUUUUUGGAGCAGGGAGUUGGAAUAGGAGCUUGCUCCGUCCACUCCACACAUCGACCUGGUAUUGCAGUACCUCCAGGAACGGUGCACCCCCU